UACCAGACUCUUACGGGAGGCAGCAGUGAGGAAUAUUGGUCAAUGGGCGCGAGCCUGAACCAGCCAAGUCGCGUGAGGGAAGACGGUCCUAUGGAUUGUAAACCUCUUUUGUCGGGGAGCAAAAGACGCCACGCGUGGCGUUCCGAGAGUACCCGAAGAAAAAGCAUCGGCUAACUCCGUGCCAGCAGCCGCGGUAAUACGGAGGAUGCGAGCGUUAUCCGGAUUUAUUGGGUUUAAAGGGUGCGUAGGCGGGCUUUUAAGUCAGCGGUAAAAAUUCGGGGCUCAACCCCGUCCGGCCGUUGAAACUGGCGUUCUUGAGUGAGCGAGAAGUAUGCGGAAUGCGUGGUGUAGCGGUGAAAUGCAUAGAUAUCACGCAGAACUCCGAUUGCGAAGGCAGCAUACCGGCGCUCAACUGACGCUCAUGCACGAAAGCGUGGGUAUCGAACAGGAUUAGAUACCCCGGUAGA
rnacentral:rRNA from 1 species